rnacentral:rRNA from 1 species
AGCAGCCGCGGUAAUUCCAGCUCCAAUAGCGUAUAUUAAAGUUGUUGCAGUUAAAAAGCUCGUAGUUGAAUUUCGGGAUCAAUACGUCGGUCGUGCUUCGGUACGUACUGGCGUAAUUGAUUUCUCCCUUCUGACGAACCAUGAUGUCAUUAACUUGGUGUCAUGGGAAAUCAGGACUGUUACUUUGAAAAAAUUAGAGUGUUUAAAGCAGGCUCACGCUUGAAUACAUUAGCAUGGAAUAAUGAAAUAGGACGUUCGAUCCUAUUUUGUGGUUUUAGGAUCAACGUAAUGAUUAAUAGGGAUAGUUGGGGGCGAUUAGUAUUCAAUUGUCAGAGGUGAAAUUCUUGGAUUUAUUGAAGACUAACUACUGCGAAAGCAUUUGCCAAGGAUGUUUUCAUUAAUCAAGAACGAAAGUUAGGGGAUCGAAGACGAUCAGAUACCGUCGUAGUCUUAACCAUAAACUAUGCCGACUAGGGAUCGGAUGAUGUUAAUUUUUAAUGACUCAUUCGGCGCCUUAAC